rnacentral:rRNA from 1 species
GACGAACGCUGGCGGCGUGCUUAACACAUGCAAGUCGAACGAUGAAGCCGGAGCUUGCUCCGGUGGAUUAGUGGCGAACGGGUGAGUAACACGUGAGCAAUCUGCCCUUGACUCUGGGAUAACUGCGGGAAACUGUAGCUAAUACCGGAUACGACACCUUGGGGCAUCCCAGGGUGUGGAAAGAAUUUCGGUCAAGGAUGAGCUCGCGGCCUAUCAGCUAGUUGGUGAGGUAAUGGCUCACCAAGGCGACGACGGGUGACCGGCCUGAGAGGGUGACCGGCCACACUGGAACUGGGACACGGUCCAGACUCCUACGGGAGGCAGCAGUGGGGAAUAUUGCACAAUGGGCGAAAGCCUGAUGCAGCAACGCCGCGUGAGGGAUGAAGGCCUUCGGGUUGUAAACCUCUUUUAGCAGGGAAGAAGCGAAAGUGACGGUACCUGCAGAAAAAGCACCGGUUAACUACGUGCCAGCCGCCGCCGUAA